CACGUUAAAAUGAAAGAGUGAGAGAGGGGAAGACGGUUUUAUAAAAACUAACCUUUAAAGUGGGAUAAUUUUUGUUCUAGUGAUCGAAAUUGCAUGCUGUUUGUGGUCACGCGUCAGGGGUUUACUAGCUUUGACUCCUUGUGGGUAUUUCUCAAGGAUCAGUGGGUGAAGAGUUAUAAUGUGUUAGUGGGAUGCUUGAAUUGUUGGUAACUGGAGGAAUGGAGCAAGAAAGAGGGAUUUGUUAUUUUGAAAAGUUUUGGAUUGUGCGAAAAUCGGCCAAGAUAUGAUUUUUGUUUCUCAUAUGUAAUAUAUAAUGUUUUGUGAAAACAUAGGUUAGAUGACUAUAGAAUAAGUUAAAAUGUGUAGUUAUGUUAAUGUUUAGUAACUUUGAUGAAAUUAUUAAGGGAAGUGCUAGGAGAACAACGAAAAUUUUGCACAACAUGAACAACCACCAAUCAGAUGAAAAUACACUACACUCUAAUUUAAUGCUACUAAUCAAAUUUACUCUUUUAACCCUAUUAAUUCACAUUGUUUACACAUUGUUCAAAAAUCUUGUUGAUUAUCUAUACUUUUCCAAUUAUUAAAUGAUAUUGAGAAUGAGUAGUGAUUGAUGAUUUUGUUGAAGGUGUGAUGUUGGUAUUUGAUGAUAAAUUUGAUUGAGUUUGAUGGAAGUUGAAUUAGUGUACUUAAUAUAGAUUAGCAACUCUUGAUGUAAAUGUUGAGUCAUUU